GCUUACGGCCACACCAGCUUGAGAAUGCCCAAUCUCAUCUGACCUUGAAAGCUAAGCAAGUUUGGGAUUGGAUAGUACUGAGGUGGGACCCCACCUAGGAAUACUAGGUGCUGUAAGCU
ensembl:rRNA 5S_rRNA 5S ribosomal RNA